rnacentral:rRNA from 1 species
UACGUAGGGUGCGAGCGUUAAUCGGAAUUACUGGGCGUAAAGCGUGCGCAGGCGGUCCGCAAAGUCUGAUGUGAAAGCCCCGGGCUCAACCUGGGAAUGGCAUUGGAAACUGGCAAGCUCGAGUUUGGCAGAGGGGGGUGGAAUUCCGCGUGUAGCAGUGAAAUGCGUAGAGAUGCGGAGGAACACCGAUGGCGAAGGCAGCCCCCUGGGCUAAGACUGACGCUCAGGCACGAAAGCGUGGGGAGCAAACAGG